rnacentral:rRNA from 1 species
UACGUAGGGACCAAGCGUUGUUCGGAUUUACUGGGCGUAAAGGGCGCGUAGGCGGCUUGACAAGUCACUUGUGAAAUCUCCGGGCUUAACUCGGAACGGCCAAGUGAAACUGUCAUGCUAGAGUGCAGAAGGGGCAAUCGGAAUUCUUGGUGUAGCGGUGAAAUGCGUAGAUAUCAAGAGGAACACCUGAGGUGAAGACGGGUUGCUGGGCUGACACUGACGCUGAGGCGCGAAGCCAGGGGAGCAAACGGG